rnacentral:rRNA from 1 species
AACACAUGCAAGUCGAGCGGUAGCACAAGAGAGCUUGCUCUCUGGGUGACGAGCGGCGGACGGGUGAGUAAUGUCUGGGAAACUGCCUGAUGGAGGGGGAUAACUACUGGAAACGGUAGCUAAUACCGCAUAACGUCGCAAGACCAAAGAGGGGGACCUUCGGGCCUCUUGCCAUCAGAUGUGCCCAGAUGGGAUUAGCUAGUAGGUGGGGUAAUGGCUCACCUAGGCGACGAUCCCUAGCUGGUCUGAGAGGAUGACCAGCCACACUGGAACUGAGACACGGUCCAGACUUUU